CUACGGGAUGCACCAGUGGGGAAUAUUGGACAAUGGGGGAAACCCUGAUCCAGCAAUGCCGCGUGUGUGAAGAAGGCCUGCGGGUUGUAAAGCACUUUCGGUUGGGAGGACUGCUUCUAGCACUAAUAUUGUUGGAAGUUGACGUUACCUUCAGAAGAAGCACCGGCUAACUCCGUGCCAGCAGCCGCGGUAAUACGGAGGGUGUAAGCGUUAAUCGGAAUUACUGGGCGUAAAGCGCGCGUAGGCGGCUAGAUCAGGCGGGUGUGAAAGCCCCGGGCUUAACCUGGGAACUGCAUCCGAUACUGUCUAGCUUGAGUACAGGAGAGGAGAGUGGAAUUCCACAUGUAGCGGUGAAAUGCGUAGAUAUGUGGAGGAACACCAAUGGCGAAGGCAGCUCUCUGGCCUGAUACUGACGCUGAGGUGCGAAAGCGUGGGGAGCAAACAGGAUUAGAUACCCUUGUAGUC
rnacentral:rRNA from 1 species